rnacentral:rRNA from 1 species
UACGAAGGGGGCUAGCGUUGCUCGGAAUCACUGGGCGUAAAGCGCACGUAGGCGGAUCUUUAAGUCAGGGGUGAAAUCCUGGAGCUCAACUCCAGAACUGCCUUUGAUACUGGGGAUCUCGAGUCCGGGAGAGGUGAGUGGAACUGCGAGUGUAGAGGUGAAAUUCGUAGAUAUUCGCAAGAACACCAGUGGCGAAGGCGGCGACCUGGGAAGAUACUGACGCUGAGAUGCGAAAGCGUGGGGAGCAAACAGG